rnacentral:rRNA from 1 species
GAUGAACGCUAGCGGGAGGCUUAACACAUGCAAGUCGAGGGGCAGCAUAGGGUAGCAAUACUCUGAUGGCGACCGGCAAACGGGUGAGUAACGCGUAUGCAACCUACCCUGUACAGGGGGAUAACCCGGAGAAAUUCGGACUAAUAUCCCGUAAUAAUAUCCGGAGGCAUCUUUGGAUAUUUAAAGUUUCGACGGUACGGGAUGGGCAUGCGUAACAUUAGCUGGUUGGUAAGGUAACGGCUUACCAAGGCUAUGAUGUUUAGGGGUCCUGAGAGGGUGGUCCCCCACACUGGUACUGAGACACGGACCAGACUCCUACGGGAGGCAGCAGUGAGGAAUAUUGGUCAAUGGGCGCAAGCCUGAACCAGCCAUCCCGCGUGCAGGAAGACGGCCCUAUGGGUUGUAAACUGCUUUUCCAGGGAGAGAAACUUACGCACGUGUUGCGUGACUGACGGUACCCUGGGAAUAAGCAUCGGCUAACUCCGUGCCAGCAGCCGCGGUAAUCACGAG